CCUACUGGUGACACUAAAAAAAACCCUAAAUUAAAGCAGCCGCCAUCCUCUUGUCUAUCUCCUCCUUCUCUGUUCGCUCCUCCAUCUUCUAAACCUAAAAACAAACAGCCGACAGACAUAUCUUCUUUCAUUCUACGAUUCAGCAGGGAAGGUAAGGUUCAAUCAGCAGGAAACUAAAGAGGCAAAAGGAGGGGAGGUGUUGCUUACCAGAAGCAGAAGCAGUUGGUGACGACGGUUCAGAGAAAAUACCCCAGUGCGCUCUCCCAUAAGGAUCGUCGGCGGGGUUCCUUCUCUCUCUAUAUUCUGGCGAUUCAAAUUUCAUAAACGCUGUAAAUUAGAUUUGGCGUACAUCCUUCAUUUGUUCAUCCAUUACUUCAUCAAAAGGGUUUCUUAUCGAGAGUUAGAUCAAGAGAUGGGGUGCCGGCUAAUGGUUCUGUGGUGUUUCUCUUACAAGAUUGUUUCAUCUUCAGAUGAUAAUGAUGAUGAUUGUUCUACGGUUGUUUCCAGUAUUGUUGUUCCAACAUCGUUUAAAGUAUAUGUUUUUUGCUACUCCGAUUUUCAAAUUUGAGUUUUUAAUUUUGAAGGGAUAUACUCUAAUUCUCGGUUUAUAUUUCAGUCUAAUCACAGUUGUUUGAAAUUCACACAAUCUGCUGCGGGUUAUUAUAGGUCUAUAUUCAAAGAAGCAUAAAGUUUAAUUAAACACAAAGAAAGAUUAUUAAAUUUAUAGGUAAAAUAAUUUUGCUUAUGACUAAAUGAUGAUUAUAAUU